AGCAGUCGCCGCGGUAACACGAAGGGUGCAAGCGUUACUCGGAAUUACUGGGCGUAAAGCGUGCGUAGGUGGUGGUUUAAGUCCGUUGUGAAAGCCCUGGGCUCAACCUGGGAAUUGCAGUGGAUACUGGGUCACUAGAGUGUGGUAGAGGAUAGUGGAAUUUCCGGUGUAGCAGUGAGAUGCGUAGAGAUCGGAAGGAACAUCUGUGGCGAAGGCGACUAUCUGGGCCAACACUGACACUGAGGCACGAAAGCGUGGGGAGCAAACAGGAUUAGAUACCCGGUAGUCCCUGUCUCUUAUACA
rnacentral:rRNA from 1 species